GGUGAACCAUUUGGUUUGCCUGGGACUGAGGGGUUUCCUGGCAUGCAGGACUUUCAGUGUUAAA
rnacentral:miRNA from 10 species